UCUACUGCUAGAAGCAUUGCAGGUGUGGCUGCUGUGUCACGUGUGCAGCAAUAGGUGGCAGAGAGUACAGAGGCUAUGUCUAUGCUUGGUGUUCUGACUAUGAAGAUCUGAGUAGUUAGCAGCCUAGCAUU